rnacentral:rRNA from 1 species
GAUGAACGCUGGCGGCGUGCCUAAUACAUGCAAGUCGAGCGAACGGACGAGAAGCUUGCUUCUCUGAUGUUAGCGGCGGAUGGGUGAGUAACACCUGGCCAACAUACCUAUAAGACCGGGAUAACAUCGGGACACCGUCGCUAAUACCGGAUGAUAUUUUGAACCUCAUUGUUCAAAAGAGCAAGACGGUCUUGCUGUCACUUCUAGAUGGAUCCGCGUUGCAUUAGCUAGCUGGUAAGGUAACGGCUUACCAAGGCAACGAUGCAUAGCCGACCUGAGAGGGGGAUCGGGCGGACUGGAGGUGAGAGACGGUCCGGACUCCGACGGGAGGCAGCAGUAGAGAAACUUCCGCGAUGGGCGCAGGCAUGACGGGGCGACGCAGGGUGAGUGAUGGAGGGCUGCGGAACGUAAAACGGGGUGAAUAGGGAAGAACAUGUGAGGAAGGAACUGAGCACGUCGAGACGGUAACUAAUCAGAUAGCCACGGCUAACUACGUG